GGGAAUGCUUACAGCAAUCUAAUCUCCAGAAUGCAAACUUUGAACAUUAUAAAACUUGCUACCCAGAACAAAAAGCAAAGGAAAAGUACCAGAUGUGGACAGCAAUGUCCUAAAUAGAAAUAACCUUUGCCUCUUGGAAUCUGACAUAAAUUGCUCAUUAAUUGCAUUUAUGCUGAGUGAGAAGAGAUUAUCAGACAGAACUUGCCUUUUCAGGAUGUGGACUAUCGUUCCUUGUAUUAUUGCUAGAUGGGGGGGGGAAUCAUUUUGUAACCAUACCAAGAAAAGUUCAACAUUUUUUUCUGUGUUAUAUUUGGGACACAUUAUGUGAAGACCAAGCUCCCUUGAGAAGUCUAUAAUUCUGGGAAAGGCAGAAGAAAAGAAGAGGAUGACCAGUAGCAAGCUGCACAGUGAUGAAUACACCAUUGGAAGACUUGAAGGACCAGGCUGGGAACUGUUCAUCCUGGUGAAGAUCUAGCUAUAUGGCUACAAAGAGUCAGUGCUGACUUGAUAUCACAUAACCAAUAAAUCAAUUUCCCUUUCAAAAUCAUCCCUUGAUUUCAAAAUAGCA